rnacentral:lncRNA from 1 species
CACUUAUGGUAUAUGGAAGUUUCCAAUCCAGGGAUCAAAUCUGCAGCUGUAAUCUACACCUUAACUCACUGAACCCAGCCAAAGAUUGGACCUGUGCCUCAGUAGCUGCCCCAGAUCCUUAACCCACUGUGUCACAGUGGGAACUCCUACUCCCAGAAUUCCUGUGAGAAUCAAAUGAGAUAAUGAGAAUAUAAUUAUUACAUUUCUAUAUAGACUGUAUUGUGAUGCUUUCUGCUUAAAGUGUGGUCCUCAGAAAAGCAGUGUCAGCAUCAUUCAGAAGCUUGUUAGAAAUGCAGAAUCUCAGCCUCCACUCCACACUUACUGAAUCAGAAUCUCAUUUUAACAUGAUCAUUAGGUAAUUUCAAAUACACAUUAAAGUUUGAGAAGUAAAGACUAUACAAUUGUAAAAAAUUUUAGUUCUCCAAACCCUUUUUUUAGAGAGCCCUUCCAGAGAAAGGAAAUAUAUCUUUAUUUCAGUUUAGGACCUAGAAUAUAAUCGACCUUUAAUUAGAGUUGAAUGAAUGAAUGAAUGAGUGCGUGAAUGAAUGAAUAUCUUGCUCUCAGCCACUACUUGGAACUCUUUACCUAAUAUUUCCUCUGCUGUAAUAGCAGGGCAUGUCCAAGGUGAUUGCAGCUGCCUCACAGCCAGCUGAUGCCAACCACAGAUGCAGGCAUUUAGUAUGUGAUUAAGGACAGAGUGAUCCACUUAAUGUGAGUUGUGGGAGAUAUUUGGCAAGAACUAAGGGACAGAGGUUGGAUUUUAAAGAGUUUCCAAAGAUAAUGUCUUUCCCAAUUAUUUAAAAUCCUCAGUAACUUGGAUCACACCCACUCAGAAAUAAGCCUUCUAAAGACAGAGUUCUCUAAAUAGGAUUCUUGUUCACUUUGGCAGCAGAAUCCUGACUCAAGGUCUUUUCAGGUGUUUAUGUAACAUGGCAGGAGGGGUCAUCCACGAGGGAGAAAUGCUUCUUUGCUUACUAGAUUUUACCACCCAUUAAAUUAAUUAAAGAAUUAAUCUAUCCCAUCUUCCAACAAACACAACAGUGCUCAGCUUAGGGUUGCCAUAGUGUGCAGACUAGCAACGCCUUUUUCUGUCCAGUAGUUGCCAGGUAUGAGGAUGGAUUAUGCAUCAAGCACUCACAGUGGGGUUUGAGGAAAUACAAACUGAUACGGGAGAGUGAGGCAGGCCAUCUUAGCCUAGUAAAGGUAGAGGUGACGGAGAGACACUUCCUGCAGGAAGUGACCUUUCGGUGACACCUGGAGGAUGAGUAGGAAUUAAGCAAUUGGGGCAGGAAGGAGGAAAGGUAGCUGGUACACAGUAUAGUGUGAGUCAAGGCCUAGAAGCAAGAGAGAAUUUGCUCCAGUAAAGGAGGUUUGGAGAGCUGUGUUGACUGUGUGUGAGAUGCGCAGGGGUAUAAAUGCGGGAUGUGGAGUGUGAGAAGACCUGAAGUUGAAGACUUAUCCAGUUUGGGACCUCCCAGGGUCUUGAGAAUCCUAAGCAAUUUGCAUUUUAUCCUCAGAUCAAUGGAGGAAGUCUUUGGAAGUGCUAGUGGGUCUGAUGGAGUUAGCAGUUCUUUCUAAUGGACCAGUGAGCCCUUCAUUAAUAUGACAAGGGGAAGAGACUUGUCUCUGGUCUGCAUGCCCUACCCUGCCCUGGGUCUCUUAGUUUGAGCUGGGUGUCUGCUUCUUGCUUGCAUCCCUUAAGGCUCACUGCAGGAUGGUCCUAAGUAUUGCCUUAUGCCCUCUUCAAAGAAGAGUAUUCUUCCACCAAGACUUCAUCAGUUGAACUCUCCUGGUCACUUUGCUUCCAGUCUGUCUAAUGUAACACUCUCUGAGAUCCCCUUUUCUGGGUUCUCCCUGCCUACAGGGGCAAGUUAGACACUGGAAGCUUUGAGGCUGAGCUACGAGCAGUUGCCCUCCUCCACGCAGCACCAACAGCAUCACCAUACCUACUCUCAGAGUUUCGGUAAGUCAGGUCAUUUUUGCACAAUGAUUUUAUACCCAUUAGCAACUGGCUUCCUUUAUGUAUGCCCCUGUUGCCUAGGCUAUUAACUGUGAGCUGUCACUAUUGGAAGGUUUUGAGAGACAAGUUGGCCAGAACACAGGAUUGAGGGUUGAAAGAGCUGGCCUGAAUUUUUCCCCUUCCUGCUACCCUUAUUUUGUGACCUUGGGUGAGUCCCUUGAAUCUCAGUUUCUGCAGCUGUAAACAGGGAAAAACAAGAGCGCCUGCCCUGUCUCUUCUCAGGGCAGUGGUGAGAUCAAACCAGUUGUGCACACAGCAUUUGGCAGUGGAGCUGCUCAUUUGCCCUAGGUGUGUGGAUAGGUGCUUUGUAAAGCUCUAGGAAGAUUUCAUUGGUUCUCUGGACAUCGCUGGCUUAGUUCCCGGCCACACCACCCCUUUCUCACACAGCUGAAGGUAGAUAGGACCCAUGAGUUGUGCAUUUCUCACCUUCUGCAACUAAUUGCUGCCUUCCUGUCUGAGGCUUUCGAAUUAGGUUUCAUUUAUCAGGACUCCUGCACUCAAUCACUUAAUGGACAAUCUAAUUGGAAAUCAUUUGUCCAAAUGUAAACAUUAUUUUAAUUCAUAAUUGUGGAGUCCAAAUAAUUUUGGUGACAUGACCCACUUUGAAACACUCUUUCUGAUGGGCCGUAACUAUGGCACGCACACCCAGUUUUCUCUCCUGGUAUGUAAUUAUCUCCUUAAGCUUCUUGCUGGAAGUUUCUGAAAUGUUUAUGAACCAACAUUAAUUUCCAGUUCAUUACAGAGUUCCUGUUUUCCUCUAAAUUUUUUUUCAGGGAAUCUUUAAAAAUAAAUAGAUUGAUAGAUAAAUGGGUAGAUAAAAGAAAAGAGCAAAUGAUUAUCCCUCCUCAAAUAAUUGCCUUCCAAAAUUCAAAACACUGACAUUGUAGCACAAAAGGGAGAUUAAAGGGUUGAAACAGAGUGAUGGAAAUGGAAUUUAAAGAUUUAAAAAAACAAAAAAACUCCUGUAUAUGUGGAAUAUAAACUAUGACACAAAUGAACCUAUCUACAAAACAGAAACAGACCCAUGGAAGUAGAGAACGGACUUGUGGUUGCCAAGGGGGAGAGGGGAGGGAUGGGAUGAACAGGGAGUUUGGGGUUGGUGGAUGCAAACUAUUCCAUUUAGAAUGGAUAAGCAAUGAGGUCCUAUUGUACAGCACAGGGAACUAUAUCCAGUCUCUUGGGAUAGACCAUGAUGGAAGAUAAUAUAAGAAAAAUAAUGUAUGUGUGUUUGUAUAUAUAUAUAUAUAAUAUGAAUAUAUGACUGGGUCACUCUGCUGUACAGCAGAAAUUGACUCAACACUGUAAAUCAACUAUACUGUAAUAAAAAUAAAACUAAACAAAAACAAAACAAACAAAAAACUCUUGGCAUCUUAUCCUUGCAAGGGCUCCUUAUCAUCUUCUCUUCUCAUCAGUAUAUGUGGUGGGAAUUCCUCUGCUAGAGACAUAGGACCAUAUUAGAAUGUCUAAGAGUUUACAUCCAGGUCAACUUAAAGACAGUAUAAAGGAUCCUUCUUAAAAUAUGGAGGCCUUACAGGUCAUGUCUUUCCUAAAAACCUCUUCAAGCCUCCCUCCCCAUCGCUGCAGGUGAUGCUUCUUUCUCUUUGCUUCCAAGUGGUACAUAUUUCCUUUCCCAUCACUUUCCAUUUAUUAUACUUUCUUAGUUUUCUUACCUGUAUCCCCAUAGUAGACCAAGAGUCCUCAAGUCAGGGACUAAGUCUCAUUACCUUGGCACAUUUAGUGACUAACUUCUAGACAGAAGUUGUUGACUCAUCAUGCAGGGUCACCACCUCAGAUACACUUCAGCCCUCAUCAGCGUGACUACAACAGCCUCCUAACUUGCUUCUCUGACUUUAGUUUACUCAAUGUCCAUACCAUCCUCCCCACUGGAGCCAGGGAAGUCCCUAAGAUAUGAGUUGGACCAGUUCUUCCCUUGCUUGGAACCAUCUGAUGAGUACUGCUCUCCCCUGGGUAAAUCCACACUCCUCCGUAUGGCUUCGGGGGCCUUUCAUCCCCUGGACCUGACUGGUCUGACCUGGUUUCCAGCUGCUCUGCCCUCAUGCCCAAAGAUCCAGCCAGCAGAAACCAGGCCCGUCCGUUCUUUAAUACACCCUGCCCUCUCACAUGGUGACAGUAGUCAAUAUUUAUUGAGCACUCACUAUGCGAAGUACUUUUUGAUCACUCAAUCUGCAUUUUAAUAACCCUCACAACUACCCAUGGGAUCGUUAUAAUAUCCCCCUUUUACAGAUGAGAAAAUUGAGACUUGGAAAGGAAACUUGCUCUAGGCAAGGCAGUUAAAAGACAGUUACAGGGUUACGACCAGGCCUGUGAGUCCGGGACCUGGGAUUUCUGUCUGCCAUGUCAUGCUGCAGAAGAUGUGGUUCUCACGCCGAAAGAACUUAAGCCCAAACUGAGAUGUGCUUUCUCUGGGUAAAGACAUGACUGUGUAACAGGAAUCUGCUAAAUACAGGAAUCUGCUAAAUACCAUACCUAAGGUAGAGCUCCAGGCUGGUAUGGGAAGCCAGAAACAGAAAUAGAACUUUCAGUUGCAGGGGUCCAAGAAGGCUUCACCAGACACAUGGAGGGUGAACUCAGUUACAGAGGAUAAAAAGAUUUGCACAAGCCGAGAGAAGAAGAAGGGCUACUCUGAGCAGGCUUCUCACCAGGAUGGGGCUGGCUGUGGGGAAGGCCCUGGGAAAGUCGGAGGGACCAGGAAAUGGGUCCCUUUGGCUGAAGCAGAGAAUCUGGGAAUAGGGCAGAGGGGUUGAGGAAAUUUGCAAAGGGCCAGGAAUUGGGAGCUGGGGGCAUCCAGGAGGCUCUGGAUUACAGGAGGCUCUGAGAAGCUUGGGUUACACCUGGUGGCUGGUCUGAGAGAGGCUGAACCCCUUCCAGUAAAGGGCUGGUCUGACUACAGUGUUGUCCAUGAAGAAAAAUACAAAAUUUAGGGUGGGGUCGAACAGGGGGAGGGAGCAAGUCUGGAAUGCCCAGGAAGGAAGCUUUUGCAACAGACCUGACAGGAGAUGAGAGUGGUGGCUGUGUAAUUGCAAAGGAAAGGACUGAUCCCACAGGCACUUCAAGCCAUCUUGCGCUAUAAUUUGCUUUUUAAUGACACUGCCGAUCUGCUGUUACUGACGUCUGGGGACCUCAGAGGCGCUUCCGAGUCACACCCUGGGUGGCCAGUGCUUGCCUGUGUGUUGCACUUAAAGAGCGCUCUUUAGGGUCAGCUUUCAGGCCAGGCCCUGCCCUGUGGGGCGGUGGGGGCAGCCUCUAGCAGCUCUUGCAGCUUCUUGGGCUUCUUUUCCAUGAUUGCUUCAGCUUAUCCGCUCAAACAGAGAUUUUAACAUAGAAACAAUUCUGGGUCAUUUGAAGCUCUGCUGCGUGCAGAGGACCGUGGGUAUUGGCCUCCAUCACCCGCUCAAUGAAAUACCCAAGCAAGGCCACAGCCAAUCACUGCUUCUGCCUGCGUCAAGCACUGUGCCUGUAUAUUGAAGACUGCACUUGAAAGCCAGGGGAGAGUCGGUUAUCUGAUGAGCACCCCGGCCAAAGUGAAUGUGAGUGAGUCAGUUUACGUAAAAGCACCUGACAGAGCCCUCUCCUUGGUGGUUCAGGCUCUACCUGCUCUUCAGGUUCUCAGCCUGCCCCAUGACGCUGAAUCAGUUCAAAACCUGCCAGAGGCCUCUGUGGCCUUUAGCCAGGAAGAAAAGGAACAAGAACCUCUGAUAACUCCAUGAAAGGGGACCUUCGUAGGAGCAGGAGGCAAACAUACAUUUGAACUUAACUGAAUCCAGUGGAAAUCAGUCUGGGAAAAUACAUUUUUUUAAAAAACAUUUGUUCGUUCUUUCAUGCCCUUGCUCAACAUUUUUAUCUGCAUUCACUCCCUAGGUGCGUUUACUUGGUUGUUGAACAGAGUUUGAGCUCCUCAUGGGGAGGGAGUGUGUCUGGUUUGUCCCCUGGGGCUGCUGCAGGCAGUGGUACACUGUGUCUCCAGCACAAGGACAUGUAGCUGAAGCAGCGGAAGCUGGAAAGUGCUGAUGUGUUUGUUUGUUUGGGGAAACAUUUAUUGGGCACUGAGUGUAUACUGGGUGUGGUGUUCCGUCCUAUCCCAGCAGACAAAGCUCAAUUGGGCAGAGCUCCCAUGUCCGCUAUUUAGGUAAGAGUAUGGUGAAGACAUGCGCACUUCCUCUGCCCUGGGGAGGUAGGGAAGUCUUCCAGGAAGGAACUUCUGGUUCAGUUUUUGAAAGUUCUUCAGGAGAAGAAGUGUGGGAACCUGU